AACGCACCUUGCGCUCCUUGGUAUUCCGAGGAGCAUGCCUGUCUGAGUGUCAUGAAAUUCUCAACCUAUAAACCUUUGCGGGUUUGUAGCGUUGGAUGUUGGAGGCUUUUGCUGGCCCAGUCAGCUCCUCUUAAAUGCAUUAGCUUGGUUCCUUGUGGAUCGGCUGUCGGUGUGAUAAUGUCUACGCCGCACCCGUGAAGCGUUUGGAGAGCUUCUAAUGGUCUCGUCAGAGACAGCUUAUAUGAACUCUGACCUCAAAUCAGGUAGGACUACCCGCUGAACUUAA
rnacentral:misc_RNA from 1 species